rnacentral:rRNA from 1 species
UACAGAGGGUGCAAGCGUUAAUCGGAUUUACUGGGCGUAAAGCGUGCGUAGGCGGUUCAUUAAGUCGGUUGUGAAAUCCCUGGGCUUAACCUGGGAACUGCAGUCGAUACUGGUGGACUAGAGUACGGUAGAGGGUGGCGGAACUCCGGGUGUAGCGGUGAAAUGCGUAGAUAUCCGGAAGAACACCGAUGGCGAAGGCAGCCC